GUGGGGAAUUUUGGACAAUGGGCGCAAGCCUGAUCCAGCAAUGCCGCGUGCAGGAAGAAGGCCUUCGGGUUGUAAACUGCUUUUGUACGGAACGAAACGGUCCUGGUUAAUACCCGGGGCUAAUGACGGUACCGUAAGAAUAAGCACCGGCUAACUACGUGCCAGCAGCCGCGGUAAUACGUAGGGUGCAAGCGUUAAUCGGAAUUACUGGGCUUAAAGCGUGCGCAGGCGGUGCUGUAAGACAGGCGUGAAAUCCCCGGGCUUAACCUGGGAAUUGCGCUUGUGACUGCAGUGCUGGAGUGCGGCAGAGGGGGAUGGAAUUCCGCGUGUAGCAGUGAAAUGCGUAGAUAUGCGGAGGAACACCGAUGGCGAAGGCAAUCCCCUGGGCCUGCACUGACGCUCAUGCACGAAAGCGUGGGGAGCAAACAGGAUUAGAAACCCUGGUAGUCC
rnacentral:rRNA from 1 species